rnacentral:misc_RNA from 1 species
GAUUCCUUAGCAUAGUGGUUUAUUGUAAC